rnacentral:rRNA from 1 species
CCUACGGGUGGCAGCAGUGGGGAAUAUUGGACAAUGGGCGAAAGCCUGAUCCAGCCAUGUCGCGUGUGUGAAGAAGGCCUUCGGGUUGUAAAGCACUUUCAGUGGGGAAGAAAGCCUUGGGGCUAAUACCCUCGAGGAAGGACAUCACCUAAAGAAGAAGCACCGGCUAACUCCGUGCCAGCAGCCGCGGUAAUACGGAGGGUGCGAGCGUUAAUCGGAAUUACUGGGCGUAAAGCGCGCGUAGGCGGUCUGAUAAGCCGGUUGUGAAAGCCCCGGGCUCAACCUGGGAACGGCAUCCGGAACUGUCAGGCUAGAGUGCAGGAGAGGAGGGUAGAAUUCCCGGUGUAGCGGUGAAAUGCGUAGAGAUCGGGAGGAAUACCAGUGGCGAAGGCGGCCUUCUGGACUGACACUGACGCUGAGGUGCGAAAGCGUGGGUAGCAAACAGGAUUAGAUACCCUAGUAGUC